rnacentral:lncRNA from 1 species
UUUCAAGUUUCGGCCAGAUCAACAAGUACUUGGAGAAGCUCUUCAGCAACAGUUCGAAGAAAUUCAAAAACCUCAUGAAACCCUCCAACACCACCAAAUCUGCCCCAUCGAACACCACAGAACGUCCUUACUUGGAUGCCACGAACCCCCUACGGAAAAGCAUCAGCAAACCCCCAACACAGGAACCCCGCGGACGCCUGUCACUAGCCUCCUCCCCAGGCUCCAGGUAGGCAAGGCUGGUGCAGCCAGCAGAGGCCUCCACCCAUAUCCUUGGGCAAGUGGGAAGAAGUGAGAAGGGAAAGCCCUGGCCACUUGUAAGGGGUACACCAGGGCCAGGGAUGUUCCUCUUCAGGCUGGACCUAGACUCCCAGAGGCCUAGCCUGGAUCUGGCUACCCACAGACUCCUUUAGACGAUGAGCUGUGCCUCUGUUCCUCCCUACCCAUGCAGCCUGAACAAUAGACAGCAAUAAUGGAACUGACAAGAUGGCUCAGUGGUAAGGGCACUUGCCACUAAGCCUGCCGGCCAGAUUUCCACCCCCAAUCUCAUAAGACAGAAGAAAGGACACGUGUACCGUGACUUGCGUGUGCACACAUGUAAUGCAAACACACAAUGACAAUAAAGGAAUGGAUAAAUACAUUUUUAACAAGAAUCUCUAUUGUUUCUGUGACUUCUGUGGGCACUGGCAGGAAGGGCCUGUCCUCCAGUGAGGAGGGAACCUUGUCAUUCCUCUUGUAGGGCAAAUAGAUCUCAG